GCCCAGCUAUGGAGUAGACGAGGUGAUGUUUUAGUUACUUAUUUAGGUGACAGACUAUUUAUAAAUAAGCGAUAGCACUACUACCAUGUAGAGCCUGCUUUUCAUAUCUUUCUCGUAGAAGUAAUAUUAUCAUAUCCUCUGUAUUAAUAUUAUUUAAUAUGUACGUAUGUAUCUUAUCUUGGAAGGGGGGACAAAAAUAAAUUCAUCUCCAUGCUUUGUCUUACUUGGUGUAUGCAUAUGUAUGGUUGAAUUUGAAAUUGCAAAGUAGACGACGCCAAGUGCGUUAAGUUACGGGGUGCUGCUACAUAGCUUCUGUUAUGUAUGAUUCGAUGUGAUGUAACGUGAAUGAUAGGCCCCUCUUCUUUAAAUGAAAUGAAUACACACGAUUUUUAUGCAAGCUUACAUGAAUGAUUUGAAUGGACACAUUGUUGACUAGAUUUUGUAUAUUUGCAAUAUUAUUGCCAGCGUUUUAUUUGUAAAACCGCAUUUGACCGUGUAUAUAAAGUCGAUGAAUUGAAGACGUGGAGUCAUUCUGUAACGUCUUUCUAUCGUUGAACGAGGCCUCCAUUUGAUAAAAAUGGCGAAAGUGGCAUUACUCGUCUGUCUGUCCCUGGCAGUGAUACAUGUGACCAAUGCGGGUUCCUUCCUGGGCGGAGGGGGAGGAGGCGGGAAGGGUGGAGGUAGCGGCGGCGGCGGCG